rnacentral:rRNA from 1 species
UCGUGUUGUGAAAUGUUGGGUUAAGUCCCGCAACGAGCGCAACCCUUAUCCUUUGUUGCCAGCGAUUCGGUCGGGAACUCAAAGGAGACUGCCGGUGAUAAACCGGAGGAAGGUGGGGAUGACGUCAAGUCAUCAUGGCCCUUACGAGUAGGGCUACACACGUGCUACAAUGGCGCAUACAAAGAGAAGCGACCUCGCGAGAGCAAGCGGACCUCACAAAGUGCGUCGUAGUCCGGAUCGGAGUCUGCAACUCGACUCCGUGAAGUCGGAAUCGCUAGUAAUCGUGGAUCAGAAUGCCACGGUGAAUACGUUCCCGGGCCUUGUACACACCGCCCGUCACACCAUGGGAGUGGGUUGCAAAAGAAGUAGGUAGCUUAACYUCGGGAGGGCG